AAUUUAGAUUGCUGGAAAGUGAAGAAUGGUAAGUGUUAUUAUACCUGUUUGGAAGAUGAAGAACCUAAGCAAUCAGCUUUUUGGUCACACAGGUGUGAGUGAGAAAAGAUUGAAUGCCAUAGAUGACAAUGACAUUA